AGAAAGGGAAGGUCAUUUAUUAUCUUUUGACUCAACCUAUAGAAAGGCCCGUACACACCACCCCAGAGUGACAUAACCACGACGGAUGAGGUCAUGAUGUGAAGCAUUUUGUGGUCUUCGCAGGAGAUUGAUGGCAUCGUCUAGGACUUCCCACAUAGACAAGAUAAACG